UACGUAGGGGGCUAGCGUUGUCCGGAAUCAUUGGGCGUAAAGCGCGCGUAGGCGGCCCGGUAAGUCCGUUGUGAAAGUCAAAGGCUCAACCUUUGAAAGCCGAUGGAUACUGCCGGGCUAGAGUCCGGAAGAGGCGAGUGGAAUUCCUGGUGUAGCGGUGGAAUGCGCAGAUAUCAGGAGGAACACCGAUAGCGAAGGCAGCUCGCUGGGACGGUGACUGACGCUAAGGCGCGAAAGCGUGGGAGCGAACAGG
rnacentral:rRNA from 1 species